CCUACGGGUGGCAGCAGUGAGGAAUAUUGGUCAAUGGACGCAAGUCUGAACCAGCCAUGCCGCGUGAAGGAGGACGGCUCUAUGAGUUGUAAACUUCUUUUGUACGAGGGUAAACGCAGAUACGCGUAUCUGUCUGAAAGUAUCGUACGAAUAAGGAUCGGCUAACUCCGUGCCAGCAGCCGCGGUAAUACGGAGGAUUCAAGCGUUAUCCGGAUUUAUUGGGUUUAAAGGGUGCGUAGGCGGUCGGAUAAGUUAGAGGUGAAAUCCCGGGGCUCAACUUCGGAACUGCCGUUGAUACUGUGCGGCUAGAGAGUAGGUGCGGUAGGCGGAAUGUAUGGUGUAGCGGUGAAAUGUUUAGAGAUCAUACAGAACACCGAUUGCGAAGGCAGCUUACCAAGCUACUUCUGACGUUGAGGCACGAAAGCGUGGGGAGCAAACAGGAUUAGAUACCCCAGUAGUC
rnacentral:rRNA from 1 species